rnacentral:rRNA from 1 species
GAUGAACGCUGGCGGCGUGCCUAAUACAUGCAAGUCGAGCGAAUGGAUUAAGAGCUUGCUCUUAUGAAGUUAGCGGCGGACGGGUGAGUAACACGUGGGUAACCUGCCCAUAAGACUGGGAUAACUCCGGGAAACCGGGGCUAAUACCGGAUAACAUUUUGAACCGCAUGGUUCGAAAUUGAAAGGCGGCUUCGGCUGUCCCUUUGGGAUGGGCCCGCGUCGCAUGAGCUAGUUGGUGAGGUAACGGCUCACCAAGGCAACGAUGGGUAGCCGACCUGAGAGGGUGAUCGGGCACACUGGGACUGAGACACGGCCCAGACUCCUACGGGAGGCAGCAGUAGGGAAUCUUCCGCAAUGGACGAAAGUCUGACGGAGCAACGCCGCGUGAGUGAUGAAGGCUUUCGGGUCGUAAAACUCUGUUGUUAGGGAAGAACAAGAGCUAGUUGAAUAAGCUGGCACCUUGACGGUACCUAACCAGAAAGCCACGGCUAACUACGUGCCAGCCGCCGCAGUAA